UCAGAUGUGAAAGCCCAAGGCUCAGCCUUGGAACUGCAUUUGAUACUGGCAAACUAGAGUAUGGUACAGGAAUGGGGAAUUUCUGGUGUAAGCGGUGAAAUGCGUAGAGAUCAGAAGGAACACCAAUGGCGAAGGCAACAUUCUGGACCAAUACUGACACUGAGGGACGAAAGCGUGGGGAUCAAACAGGAUUAGAUACCCUGGUAGUCCACGCUGUAAACGAUGAGUACUAGCUGUUGGAUUCGGUGUAAAGGAUCUAGUGGCGUAGCUAACGCGUUAAGUACUCCGCCUGGGGACUACGGCCGCAAGGCUAAAACUCAAAGGAAUUGACGGGGACCCGCACAAGCGGUGGAGCAUGUGGUUUAAUUCGAUGCAACGCGAAGAACCUUACCUGGUCUUGACAUCCUGCGAACUUUCUAGAGAUAGAUUGGUGCCUUCGGGAACGCAGUGACAGGUGCUGCACGGCUGUCGUCAGCUCGUGUUGUGAAAUGUUGGGUUAAGUCCCGCAACGAGCGCAACCCCUAUUGAUAGUUACCAUCAUUAAGUUGGGUACUCUAUUGAGACUGCCGCUGACAAGGCGGAGGAAGGUGGGGACGACGUCAAGUCAUCAUGGCCCUUACGACCAGGGCUACACACGUGCUACAAUGGGUAUUACAGAGGGCAGCGAAGUAGCGAUAUGGAGCGAAACUCAGAAAGGUACUCUUAGUCCGGAUUGCAGUCUGCAACUCGACUGCAUGAAGUCGGAAUCGCUAAGUAAUCGCAAAAGGGAAUACUGCGGUGAAUACGUUCCCGGGU
rnacentral:rRNA from 1 species